ACUUAAAUAGUUUAAUAAAAAUUAUAAAUUGUGGUUUUAUAGAUGUGUUUACUUUAAGUA
rnacentral:tRNA from 1 species